UACGUAGGGGGCAAGCGUUGUCCGGAUUUAUUGGGCGUAAAGAGCGUGUAGGCGGCCAUACAGGUCAGCUGUGAAAACUCGAGGCUCAACCUCGAGACGUCGGUUGAAACCGUAUGGCUAGAGUCCGGAAGAGGAGAGUGGAAUUCCCGGUGUAGCGGUGAAAUGCGCAGAUAUCGGGAAGAACACCCGUGGCGAAGGCGGCUCACUGGCCCGAUACUGACGCUGAGGCACGAAAGCGUGGGGAGCAAACAGG
rnacentral:rRNA from 1 species